CUAGAUGGUCUUGCACGGGCUUUUUUAAACUUUAAAAAAAUUUCUAAAGUUUGAACUUUUUUUUUUUUAAAUUUGUUAAUUUCUCUUCUUCUUUUUGAAUAAAAAUGUCAUUGAAUAUUAAACAUUUUGUGAAUUGCACUAAAAUAACAUGUUAGAAAGCGAUUAACUGUUUAAAAUGCUUAAUUACUUAAGUAAUUAAAACACUGCAGUAAAUGAGUUGGAUAAUACUUAAAACUAAGAUUUCAAUAAUUGUUUUUCAAAGUUUUCACUUGCACAGAUCUAAUUUCGUUUCACGUGGAUAAUAUCUGGCAGAUAUAGUCAAACGAAUAAACGUGAAAGCGACGGGAAAAAUCCUCGAAACAACCAUGGCGUUUCAUCACGUUUCCUUAUUCAAGCAUCCUAACGUGUUUUUUUACCGAAGUCUUUUUGAGUAUAUUUAUAUAUUAUUGUUUUAUUCAAGUAUUCGAUUAAAUUAUACAGGUUUU